UAGAUUUCUCUUUAUGGACUGGGCCUAACAACUAAAAAUAAGCAAAUAAUGUGAUAUAGCGAAUCCCUCCCUGGUACCGUUAGGCCUUCUCGGCGGCUGAACCGUCGUGAAAAAUGGCGGUUCCUCGCCGUAUAAGAAAACUGCUGAGGCGGCGGCGGAUUUUUUAGCUCAUCGGAACGGAACACAGCGGACCGGAGCUGUGGGCCACGCAAACCGUUGGUACUAUUCCAUUACUACGACCUACAGGAGCUACUCAUAUAAAGCAUUAAACUUUGGCAAAAAAAAGGCUCAAAAACAAAGCAAGCAGGAGACCAGUCGUUGGUCCAAAAAACAAAAAUACCCAUUUGCUGAUUUUGAGUUCCUCUCCCUUUGCUUUUUCUGCAUUCUCGAGGUUAGUCCUAAAGUUGCAACUUUUCCUUUACUUAAAAAAACCCAAAACAUACAUUUUUUUGAAAUAUUGUAAGAUAGUGAAAUCUUGAAUGUUGUUGAUGGAGAUUGUUUUGUUUUUCGAAUUUAAAUUAAUAUUAUUCUUAUUCCCAUGAGGGUUUUUUGA